rnacentral:rRNA from 1 species
UAUACUUGCUGACGUCUGGCAUUCAUCGUUUACGGUGUGGACUACCAGGGUAUCUAAUCCUGUUUGCUCCCCACACUUUCGCACCUCAGCGUCAGUAUCGAGCCAGUAAGCCGCCUUCGCCACUGGUGUUCCUCCGAAUAUCUACGAAUUUCACCUCUACACUCGGAAUUCCACUUACCUCUCUCGAACUCAAGACUAGCAGUAUUAAAGGCAGUUCCAGGGUUGAGCCCUGGGAUUUCACCUCUAACUUACUAAUCCGCCUACGUGCGCUUUACGCCCAGUAAUUCCGAACAACGCUAACCCCCUCCGUAUUACCGCGGCUGCUGGCACGGAGUUAGCCGGGGUUUCUUUACCAGAUACUGUCAUUAUCAUCUCUGGCGAAAGUGCUUUACGACCCUAAGGCCUUCAUCACACACGCGGCAUGGCUAGAUCAGGGUUUCCCCCAUUGUCUAAGAUUCCCUACUGCUGCCUCCCGUAGGAGUCUGGGCCGUGUCUCAGUCCCAGUGUGGCUGAUCAUCCUCUCAAACCAGCUAUAGAUCGUAGGCUUGGUAGGCCAUUACCCCACCAACUACCUAAUCUAACGCGGGCUAAUCCUUCUCCGAUAAAUCUUUCCCCCGAAGGGCGUAUAGGGUAUUACUCUCCGUUUCCAGAGGCUAUUCCUUAGAGAAGGGCAUAUUCCCACGCGUUACUCACCCGUCCGCCGCUCAUCCCGAGGGAUGCGCUCGACUUGCAUGUAUUAGGCCUGCCGCCAGCGCUCGUUCUGAGCCAGGAUCAAACUCU